rnacentral:rRNA from 1 species
CCCUUAGAUGUUCUGGGCUGCACGCGCGCUACACUGAUGCAUCCAGCGAGUUGUAACCUUGCUUGGUAAAGUUUGGUAAUCUGAGCCUAAUGUGCAUCGUGAUGGGAAUAGAGUUUUGCAACUAUUAGUCUUGAACGAGGAAUUCCUCGUAAGCACGAGUCAUCAGCUUGUGCUGAUUACGUCCCUGCCCUUUGUACACACCGCCCGUCGCACCUACCGAUUGAAUGGUCCGGUGAAGCCUCCGGAUUGCACAGGCCCCGUGCCUGGCGCGAGAAGUUGGCUAAACCUUACCAUUUAGAGGAAGGUGAAGUCGUAACA